rnacentral:rRNA from 1 species
UACGUAGGUCCCGAGCGUUGUCCGGAUUUAUUGGGCGUAAAGCGAGCGCAGGUGGUUUAUUAAGUCUGGUGUAAAAGGCAGUGGCUCAACCAUUGUAUGCAUUGGAAACUGGUAGACUUGAGUGCAGGAGAGGAGAGUGGAAUUCCAUGUGUAGCGGUAAAAUGCGUAGAUAUAUGGAGGAACACCGGUGGCGAAAGCGGCUCUCUGGCCUGUAACUGACACUGAGGCUCGAAAGUGUGGGGAGCAAACAGG